rnacentral:rRNA from 1 species
UGAAAUAACGUGUGCUAUGCUCAUGUCGCGUCGGACGAUGGAAGCGGUGCUUGCACCGUGGAUUAGUGGCGAACGGGUGAGUAACACGUGAGUAACCUGCCUUCCACUCUGGGAUAAGCGCUGGAAACGGCGUCUAAUACUGGAUAUGACACUGUCUCGCAUGGGGUGGUGUGGAAAGAUUUAGUUCGGUGGUAGAUGGACUCGCGGCCUAUCAGCUUGUUGGUGGGGUAAUGGCCUACCAAGGCGACGACGGGUAGCCGGCCUGAGAGGGUGACCGGCCACACUGGGACUGAGACACGGCCCAGACUCCUACGGGAGGCAGCAGUGGGGAAUAUUGCACAAUGGGCGCAAGCCUGAUGCAGCGACGCCGCGUGAGGGAUGACGGCCUUCGGGUUGUAAACCUCUUUCAGCCUUGACGAAGCCUUCGGGUGACGGUAGGGGCAGAAGAAGCACCGGCUAACUACGUGCCAGCAGCCGCGGUAAUACGUAGGGUGCGAGCGUUGUCCGGAAUUAUUGGGCGUAAAGAGCUUGUAGGCGGCUUGUCGCGUCUGCUGUGAAAGCCCGGGGCUUAACUCCGGGUCUGCAGUGGGUACGGGCAGGCUAGAGUGUGGUAGGGGAGACUGGAAUUCCUGGUGUAGCGGUGGAAUGCGCAGAUAUCAGGAGGAACACCGAUGGCGAAGGCAGGUCUCUGGGCCACUACUGACGCUGAGAAGCGAAAGCGUGGGGAGCGAACAGGAUAAACCCCCCCGG